rnacentral:rRNA from 1 species
CCUACGGGAGGCAGCAGUGGGGAAUAUUGGACAAUGGGGGGAAGCCUGAUCCAGCGACGCCGCGUGAGGGAAGAAGGAUUUCGGGAUGUAAAGCUCUAUCAGCAGGGAAGAAAGAAGUGACGGUACCUGACUAAGAAGCCACGGCUAACUACGUGCCAGCAGCCGCGGUAAUACGUAGGGGGCAAGCGUUAUCCGGAUUUACUGGGUGUAAAGGGAGCGUAGACGGGGAUGCAAGUCUGAUGUGAAAGGCGGGGGCCCAACCCCCGGACUGCUUGGGAAACUGUAUUGCUUGAGUGCAGGAGAGGUAAGUGGAAUUCCUAGUGUAGCGGUGAAAUGCGUAGAUAUUAGGAGGAACACCAGUGGCGAAGGCGGCUUACUGGACUGUAACUGACGUUGAGGCUCGAAAGCGUGGGGAGCAAACAGGAUUAGAUACCCGGGUAGUC